GAUUCUCAGGAGAAUUAAGAGUUGCCUCUUUUCCUACUUUAAAUGACAACAUUGAUGAAAUAUGGGAUUGGGACUUGGCUGCACCUGUUCCUUGAAACAAAAAGAAAACAUAACGGUGAAAUAAAUAUGGUGACUGCAUGGCCUGUUUUUAUUAAUGAUAAUCACAGAAUAUCUGAGCAGCCACCAUCAGAGCUCUUGAGAAUGACUGCCUGGGAGGGAGAAGGUGACUUUUUAAACAGGAUCACAGACUUGUGCAAACUGGAAGUGAGCUCUGGAGUACCUCUUAUAGAGUUUGCAGCUCGAAGACAGGCCAGCUGGGUCAGAAUGCUCAUGGACCUACCCAGUCUGGUCUUGUAAAUCUUUUGGGAACCUUGUUCCAGUGUUGGAUUGCUUUCAUGGUAAAAAGUUUUUUCCUUUUAUGUGAUAAGAGCUAUUGAUGCAACUGAAUUGUCUGGGCAGCUUGUGCCUGUGCCUUACCAUCCUCUGAAUAAAGAACUAGUAAAGAACUUCCUCCUAACAUCUAACCAAUCGGUGUCCAACCUUUUGGCUUGCUUAGGCUGCACUGAGUGAAGAGGAAUUGUCUAGGGCUGCAUCUACAGUAGUUGCUCUGAAAGCAAUACCUCCAAAUUAUUUCAAUGGAAACACAAAUAGCACAACAACACUAUUUAAUAGAGCAAAUUCUUAGCUACAAAGCAGUAUUUUUCAACACAGUCACCACCAUUAGCUGUGCAGUUUUACUAGCGAUGAACAUGAGCCUGCAUGCUGUUCUCUUAACAAUCUGCAUCUACGGAGGUGACCCACUGUCAUUCUUACCACUGCUGAAAUGUACCACCCACCACCUCAGUAUGCUCACAUCCACAGUUUGACUUCACAGACGUUAAGCAAAUGUCAAUGAAUGUUAAUGGGUACAAUUUUUUCUGCAUGGAAGAAUUCAAUUCCACAUCUUUGCUUCAUCUGCACUUCUAUGUCACAUGCCAUUUUGUCAGACUACCCCUCUGCUGCCAUCCAUCACACAGAAACAGGAUGUAAUGGGUUAUUGGUGGGAAAGGUUCAACCUCUACUGCCAUACCAUCAACAUCUGCCUCUGAUAUCAUGGGCCAGCAUAAUAAAAUAGAAGAUACUACUUUUGUGGCAGCCCUCAUAAAAUAUACAAUGUAGUUAGUGUAUGUAAG
rnacentral:lncRNA from 1 species